rnacentral:tRNA from 1 species
GCCCGGAUAGCUCGUCGGUAGAGCAGGGGAUUGAAAACUUCGUGUCCUGGUUCGAUUCCGAGUCCGGGCACCA